rnacentral:rRNA from 1 species
AUGAUGGACGACCUCAAGGUGUCACCCAUGUCUUCCAUCUCUGGGAUCACCCUCCUCAACACCUUUGGCGUCACGGACAUCCGCUCGCUCCAGGAGAAGACUGUGCAGCUUGGCUAUGCCGAGGGUUUGGAGAUUCUGAAGGCGUCACUGCAGUCAAAGACGGUUCUCACUGAUGUCUUCCUUACGAAGAAGUGGCCCGGAGGGCUGAACUAG